rnacentral:lncRNA from 1 species
UCUGCAUAUAUUCUGUAUUUUCUAUUUUUAUUUCUGAUAUUUAUUUAUUUUUUGGGUUUUUAGGUAAUUUACAAUCUCUAGCUAAAUGUCCUAAUUUUCCACAAUUAUAACAAGUACAUUCUUUUAUAGAUUUCUUUUUUUCUAUAUGAUCUUUUAUGUUUAUAAUUUUUUACAUAAUAUCUUUUUCUUGGUUUCUUAUAUUUAUACUUUGAUUUUUUGUAUUUCUUAUAUUUCUUAUGUCUUUUUUUUCUUAUAAUAUCUUUCUUCACAUCCAAAUUGAGGUGCUAUUUUAUCUUUACAACAUGCUAAAUUUCUUAUUAAUGUUUUUUCCAUUUUUAUUUCUUCUCUAUAUUUUUCACAUAGAUU